AAUGCACAGGCUGAAGUGCAAAAGAAGAAAGAUGAGGCAGAGAAGAAAUUCUAUUUUGAUCUCUCUUUCUUUUCCCUACAAGAGGUCCAAGUAAUCCACUAGCUUGUGCACCCAUGGAGGCCACAGGAACAGAAACAUGGAAUGCUAGAGGCUGGGGAUGCUAGUACAAGUUGUUGGACUUCAUGCUACUGUCUAGAGCUUGUCUCAAUGGAUCUAGAACUUCCAUUGCCAUGUGAUCACCAAAACUACCUUGGAGACCCACCUAGCUCAUAACCAAAACAGUCCAUAUUGAUCCUUUUCCCUGGACCUGUGGCAUUCUGAACUAUUUCUG
rnacentral:lncRNA from 10 species